GGGCAUACCUAGCUGCAGGCGCACGGCUCAGCUGGGGCGGCGGACAUACAUAGCUGCAGGCCCCACCUGUGCCAGGGGCCCUGGACAGGCAGAGAUUUUGUCUUCAGCUUCAAAAACAGACGUCCCAGCCAGCUUCCCUGCUGGAACUUUGAUCACUGAUGUUUCAGAACCAGACAUCAUGAACAUCCACAUCCCCAAGUAAAUAAGUGACAGGCCUGUUAUUAAUAAUUCUCUAUUUAUUAAAAAGGGUCCUACAGCUUUACAGCCACAGCACCGGACACGGCCCUGGACAGCGACGGCGAGCCCGGCCAGGGGCCGCUUUGCAACUUCAAUGCCAAGCUCACGUCUGGCUGCGACCGUGGCAGGCUGUGGCAUCCCCGACAGCGGCCGGUGGCGGAGGUAUGGGGGCGGGUGGCACCGCUCACUCGAGAUUCACAGAACAUGGCAAGCCCGCCUGACUGGCAUGGCAGUGAAUCGUCCUGUACAGCUUCAUUUCCUUUAAGAAAACAGUUACAGUAGAGUUCAAGUCCGAGAGCAGGAAUGUACGGUCACUGAGGACAAAAGGCAGUGGCCUGGCCCGUGGCCCAGACCCCGCUUCAGUUCUGCCUUCUGUCACCCUGGCGGCUAGGCACAGGUCGGGGCCCUGGAUGCCCGACAAGUGACAGGGGAGGGGCGGGCCAGAAGGUCCACUGGUAAGCACCUCGGCCUUUUCCGUCAACAGGUGCCACUGCCCCCUGCUGGGCCCUGGGCCUUCAGCACACAUGGCACGUGAAGAUGAGGUCCCACAGGGGUGGGGGAAGAGCAGGUGCAGACGGUUGGAGUGCAGCCCCGUCCCUCAAUCCCAUGGGGCGGGCUUUCGCCAAACCCCUAACGUUGCCC
rnacentral:lncRNA from 1 species